UUUAAAUUACAGACAGUUAGCUGAGUACCUUCCAUAAAAACUCCAGAUUAAGUUUUGCUUCAUAUUCCCAUGAAGCAGACCAGUUUUCUAAAAUUCUGGAAAUGAAGAGGCUAAUAUGCCAAUAUGGAAAUCAUCUGCCAGAAGUCAUACAGAAAUAUGGAAAGUACAUGGUUCAGGCUCCAAGACAAGAUCAGCCUUUUUCCAGUAGUACAAGGCAACCUCCAACUUACCCUUUUACUGCUGUAGAAUAACUCUAAAAACAAAAGUAGUAUUCAUUGAUAACUCCUAAAUCCUCCAGUCCGUGAAAUACUAGGCAAUCAUUAAAUGCUACUUUACAACAUGUUUGACUGUCUCUGGCCAGAAGCAAAUAGCUAGCAUUACGUAUGCCUGCACUGAAUUUACUCAGGAGGUCAAAGCCAAAUGCCAUGUAGUCAUCUGAAAUGCCAAACUGAGUAGCAAAUUAGGUAACUACACAUGCAUUGAUGUGAAUUAACAAAUAACACUGUCAACAGGUCUAUUUUUUACAAUGCAGGUUUUGUUCUGCUGGUAUUUGAACCGUUUAGACAAGAAUCUCAUUAGGUAAGGGCACGUAACACCACUCAGAGAGCCAGAAUUUCCCACGAAACAAGGUUUCUAUAUUGAGGAUUUUCCCACAAGUCCUUAUGCUAUAGUAACCUGGAAUUUCAGCCUGUGUAGAAAAAGAAGUUUUGACACAGAGACUAGCCAAACUGCUUCAGAGAUUUUAGCAUAACAACAUACGAAGACUGAGCAGAUCAAUACUUAAAGCACUCCACUAUGCUCAGGAAGAAAACCAUGCAUCAAGGAGGAUACAGAACUAGACUGGAUUUCCAGUUUCUCCUGGAUCAAGUCUAGGUUCGUACCAUUGGAAGCCUAUUCUGAAAGGCCCAUUUACACAGAUUUUUUGUUCAAUAAAAUGUUAGUUCCGUUUCCAAUUAUACCUAUAAAAAACCAGUAACUUCUUACCUGCAAGUUUAAUUUCUCCAAAUCCAGAAAAUGCCAGUCCAGUUGGCAAUUUGCCCUCCUACCAGCAGAUGAAGACAGGAAAUAAACCAAACAGACUAAUUCCCUAAGAAAGGGAAUCAUAUCAGCUGAAUGCUCCAGUUCAAGAACUACCUGAGUAGUGAAAGUGAAAAUAAAAGCUUAAAAAAAUAAAAACAUUUGAAUAACAAAGAACAAGCUUUAAAAACCUUUGUUUAGGACAAAAAAUAUGGAAUGCAAACUGAAAUAUAUAGCAUACAUGAAUAUAACUAAAACCUGUAAGAGCAACUCUAAAACAAAAGGGAACUCUCAAACUGUCAGUGCUGUAUCAAGACAGUGAGUUGUCUGGACUGGUAUGUCAUUGGACUUCGAGAAAUUAGAUCAGCAGGUAUGAAAAUUAGCUACUUACCAGUAGAUUUUGAUGCUGCAAUGUACCACCUCUCUCAGGUUUGUGCCCUGCGCACAGACACAGUACUCCCCAAAUCAGAUGCCAGAGCAGUUAAAUCCCAGCAGACUUUCUAAUGGCAGCUGCUGCAGUGAGAAAAAGCAGGCAUGUCCUAUCGCACCACAUUUUCUUACUGUUUUGGACUGGCUAACAGAUCUUCAUGUGUCACAGUAACAGGACUAGUUGUGCCACAGAACAGAUGCUGCAUUGCGUUGAGGCCCUCAGAUGUUCAACGCUCAUUAUUUUGAAAGGCCUUACUUACCCCUGCUCCCAACCUUAUAAUUCUACAUUGGAUAAAAAUACUGGAAUCUGGAAUGCAUUAAUUAUUUACGCCCGGUAACUUAAAAGUUUCUGUGUUUGCUACCUCUAUGCAAUGCCUUCACCCAUAGAAGUGCAGCCAUGGAAGAAGAGAAAGAAUGCCACUAAGAAAACAGACUCUAGUAUCACACAUCAGAGGUUCAGAGAAGGGGACAUUGCCAUGCUAACAUCAUUAGGCUGUUAUUCAGAAAUGUUUGGCUUCCUGUUGCACAAUAAACCCAUGCAGUCCCUCUGGAUUCUAAGAAUAGCAUGUCCUCCAUCAUGUUGGAAGCUUGGUUGCAAUUUUGUUUAGUUCUGCGUAUUUCUUUGCUGGGCCUCACUCUGUACACUCUACUCUGAAUUGCAGGAGUCUGCCCAUGUACUAUGCCGAGAUGAACUUUUCUUAGCUAUACCUUUAAGCAAAGGGAAAAUUCCUACUACUCUACAGGCUUCCACUGCACUGAAAACAGAACUUCCCUUCCUGCUGUCUAUGCACACCUCUGUAAACAGAACAGGGGUACAGUAUUGCAGCAAACUUCAAAAGAAAGAAUUCCACAAAACCAAAAUCCAAAACACUGUCUGAACAAAAGUUUUACCAUCUACCAAAAGCUGCACUGUAUUUUCUACACUGUUAAAGAAAAAAUAAUGUGCCGACAAGUUGGGAAAAGGAGCCGAGAACAGACCAGACUACAGUACUAAGGAUUUAAAACUGCUGCUGCAAAUUUGGGCGAGAUAGAGGAUAUACAGGAAGCAUUACAAAUAAAAGCGUAGCUAAUGUGAAUUAUGGUUUGAUAGCAAGGAUCCAUGAAAGCUUUCAAAGGAAACAAGGAUUGGCAUUCUCAAUCUUUUACAUUGUAGGAAAGAAAAUCGCCAAGACCAAAGACUACAUUUUAAUCUCCUGCUUCCUUUCAGUGAGAAAAUAAAGGAGCUACAACAAAUUGGAUUUAAUGUACUGAUGCAGUUGAGGAAUUCCGUUUCUUAAGAAAAAAAAAGCCUUACAAGCACACUAUCUGAAAAAGAAGUUAAGAGUACUAAAAAAGCUAUCCAGACUUCCUGUUUCUCCAGAUGAUUUUGGUUUUGAGUGAGGAUUGCAAAGCUCAGCAACCCAGACUGAAAGUUCUACUUGUCUGGAAGGCAGGAUACAUUAGCCUGAGCCCAGUGCAGUGCUAACAGGGCAAAAUAGCCUUCUGGACAGUUUACUCGAACAGUCAAUGCCUGAGAGUGAGGCAUGAGUGACAAGCUGUGUACAGCUCAUGAGUGGAAACAUACGCAGAACACUUGCUGUAAUUAAAGUGUCACAGAAACAAACAGUCUCUCAGGGUUGCAACUAAAUUGUCAUUUCCUGUGAUUACAAAGACAUCUGUAUUAUCCAGACAGGAACUGCAGUAUUGCUGGAUCUGACAGCUAUAUUAAAAUAUGACGAAUGGGAGACUACAAGCACUGUUUAGGGCUUGAAAACACUGACCAAUUCUGAAGAAACAGCCAGACAAAUUAAAUAAAUCUAGCUUUAAGAUUUGCUAAAACAUACAAAAAAUUCUUAAUUACACAGACAAGCUUAAUACCAUGUAAGACCACGAGUGUCCCUGCAAUUUAAUUUGAGUCUUAUUUGUGCCAUAACCAAAGACAGAAUUCCAAACACAGAAGAGUUCUUGACUUUUCUUUCCUCCACAGAAUACCAGGACAAGACAGGGAUAUAGGAGGGAGAUAAAAAAACAGAGCAGCAUAAAAUAUAGCAUAGCCACUGAAUUUAAGAAAUAAAUUUUCAAUACAUGUGAUAAAUUAAAUAAAAAAUAAAAAAUUAAACUAUUGCACCAGCUGGGACAAAGGGACUGUACCCUCUUACACCAGGCACACCAGCCUGGAAACCUGAAAAAUA